rfam:Ruminococcus sp. CAG:382 genomic scaffold, scf202
CAUAGAAAACAGGGGUGCUGUAAAAGGCUGAGAUGGAUAUUUCCGAACCCUUUUUACCUGAUACGGGCAAUACCGACGUAGGGAGCUUGAAGCAUAUAUUU